ACCGAAAUAGCUCAGUUGGGAGAGCAUUAGACUAUAGAUCGAAAGAUACCUGGUUCGAUCCGGGAUCGGCA
rnacentral:tRNA from 1 species